rnacentral:misc_RNA from 1 species
GCAAACUUGGUCAUUUAGAGGAAGUAAAAGUCGUAACAAGGUUUCCGUAGGUGAACCUGCGGAAGGAUCAUUACAAAUCCAUCCCUAUUACAUACAAUACCACGUUGAACUGAACGAACGAGCUCCCCUCCCUCCUUCCCUUCCCCUCCCCUCUCCUCUCAACAAGGCAAGGGAGAAGAAGGGGGGGGGUGGAGAGAGGAGGAGGAGGAGAGAGGGGGAGAGAGGGGGAGAGAGAGAAAAGACGCGACGACAAUGCGAUGCAUAUGCGUAUUGAUUGUCGGAUCGAUGAUCUCUCUCGAUCUCUCUCCACAUCCCUUCCUCUCUCUCUCUUUUACACUUGUACUUUCACAUGUUGUGCAAAUGGUAUUUAUAUUAUCCAUCACACAAACACAACUUAUAACAAUGGAUCUCUGGGCUCUUGCAUCGAUGAAGAACGCAGC